CUCGCCCGGAAAGACAGAUGCCGCACGGCUACGGCUAUGCGGCCAGUGCACGGGCAAAAGGAGCGUUACCCCUUCCUCGCAGCAAACGGGGAAAAGAUUAACUGGGUCCGGCCUCAAGUAGCGAAUGCGAAAGCGGUCGGACUUU
rnacentral:ncRNA from 1 species